rnacentral:rRNA from 1 species
UUUAACCUACGGGGCGCAGCAGUGGGGAAUAUUGGGCAAUGGACGCAAGUCUGACCCAGCAACGCCGCGUGAAGGAAGAAGGCUUUCGGGUUGUAAACUUCUUUUAAGGGGGAAGGGCAGAAGACGGUACCCCUUGAAUAAGCCACGGCUAACUACGUGCCAGCAGCCGCGGUAAUACGUAGGGGGCAAGCGUUAUCCGGAUUUACUGGGUGUAAAGGGAGCGUAGACGGCGGCGCAAGUCCGGAGUGAAAGCCCACGGCCCAACCGUGGGACUGCUCUGGAAACUGUGCGGCUUGAGUGCGGGG